UCUAGUGGACGAACCUCCCCAACGCCAUUUGAAGUCCACUUCUGGUCGACCCUUUGCCAGAUUCCCCAUGAAACCAGACUUUUCCAACAGAAAGUCUCCGUCCGAGCUUCUACAGCAGAUGGUUUCUGUCUGCAGCAUCAGCACUUUAGGCAUUCGACAACAGUAGACCCAUCAGCUACCUCAAAAACAUCCGAGCUUCUCUUGAAUUGAUGAGACAGAGAGCUAUUCCGCUCCAUCAGACAUCCCAGC
rnacentral:lncRNA from 1 species